CUAGUGGCGCACGGGUGAGUAACGCGUGGGAACCUACCUUUUAGUUCGGGAUAACAGUUGGAAACGACUGCUAAUACCGUAUACGCCCUCCGGGGGAAAGGUCAGCCGCUGAAAGAGGGGCCCACGUCUGAUUAGCUUGUUGGUAGGGUAAAAGCCUACCAAGGCUACGAUCAGUAGCUGGUCUGAGAGGAUGAUCAGCCACACUGGGACUGAGACACGGCCCAGACUCCUACGGGAGGCAGCAGUCGGGAAUAUUGGACAAUGGAGGAAACUCUGAUCCAGCAAUGCCGCGUGUGUGAUGAAGGCCCUAGGGUUGUAAAGCACUUUCAACGGUGAAGAUGAUGACGGUAGCCGUAGAAGAAGCCCCGGCUAACUUCGUGCCAGCAGCCGCGGUAAUACGAAGGGGGCGAGCGUUGUUCGGAAUUAUUGGGCGUAAAGGGCGCGCAGGCGGUUUGGA
rnacentral:rRNA from 1 species